UACGGAGGGUGCAAGCGUUAAUCGGAAUUACUGGGCGUAAAGCGCACGCAGGCGGUCUGUCAAGUCGGAUGUGAAAUCCCCGGGCUCAACCUGGGAACUGCAUUCGAAACUGGCAGGCUAGAGUCUUGUAGAGGGGGGUAGAAUUCCAGGUGUAGCGGUGAAAUGCGUAGAGAUCUGGAGGAAUACCGGUGGCAAAGGCGGCCCCCUGGACAAAGACUGACGCUCAGGUGCGAAAGCGUGGGGAGCAAACAGG
rnacentral:rRNA from 1 species